rnacentral:misc_RNA from 1 species
UCUAUGAAUGCCAUCUGCGACAAUACAGGGGAACCAAGCUUUAGCAAAUCGUGAAAAAGAAAGAUAGGUCAUUGUUUUGAACCAUAUAAAUUCUGCCAUCAGUGUGUGUUUUAAUUCCCUGUGGAAGUGGUGACCAUGCCAGGAAAAUCCUCUCUAUGAAAUCAGUUUGGUAUAUUUUUGUAUGUACCCUUUUAAGGUUUGCUUUCAUCACAAAGCUGUUUUUCCUUGGGUUUCUACUAAAGUUUCUGUGUUAUUCCUUUUUUUUUUAAGCCAAAGAAAAGGAAUAACA